GGAGCUAGUGUGGAUGCUCUAAAAACCCAUCUCCCCCAAAACAUUCCUCGGACGCAAAAUCCAUCUCUGCCAAUGGCGACAGAAACAACGGUUUCUUCCCCAACAGCCUUCUCUCUCCAAUCCUUCUCCAGGAACGGCCCUUCCCGAGCUCCUCACGUCCCUCUCAUCCGUUCCCCUCACUUUCCCGUUUCUUCCAGGAAGCACAGGGAAGUUUCUUGUGGUUGGAGUUCUCCCAAGGCUGGCUCCUGCGCUCCUAGAAAAGGGAUUGAAAGAUUUUUUUCUCUUCUGAUGUUGAUCUGAAGUUGAUUGACAGGGAUGAUCUGUUACAAUAUACUUCAAAGAAAAAAUCAGUCGAAUGACUGGCUACGUAAGCUAUCGGAAAUAGUUAAGCGCUUGGAGGAAUUAAGUGUAACAAGGAGGAAUAUCUUGCCCAUCAAUUGCUCGAUGGAAUGUUCACAACAAUGCACAUUAGCAUGAAGAAAAAAGCUUUAGAUGCCCACGAAAAGCUCAAACCUUUAUGUUGUUUAAAUUUUCCUAAAUUUGCUACAACUUAUUUAUGAUAAUUGGUAUUGGAAAGGGAUCAAAAUAAAUUAGCAUAAUUGGUAUUGGAAACGAGUGUUGGGAUUGAAAGGUACAUAUGAUAUUAAGCAGAUUGAUCUUUAUUUCAAUGGACUCUACUCAUUAUUUGUUUAGUAUUUGCUUACUGAGAUACUACUUAUUCAAUUCUGGGAGCAACCGUUUGGAAAUUCUGUAAUAUUCUUAAUAGUCACUAUUGUUUUGCAGGAAUCUAUCAUCAAGUGGAUUGACCGAAGAAAUAACCAAAUUUGUUACUAGUCAUAGUGCACUGCAAUACUUGGAUUUGAAGCAUUUGUUGGCUUGUUACUACUACGUACAGCUAUUGUUGGUGUGACCCGGGAGUGGCAGGC